rnacentral:rRNA from 1 species
GUACUAAGGUAGCAUAAUCAUUAGUCUCUUAAUUAGGGAAUAGAAUGAAAGGAACAACUAAUUAUGACAUUAUCAUAAUAAUUUAUAUAAAAACUUACAUUUCAGUAAAAAGGCCGCAAUAAAUUAGAAAGACAACAAGACCCUAAUGAACUUUACACAUAUUGUUUUACUGGGGAAGUAAUCUAAUUAAAUCUUAAUUAAAUAUAUUAACUAAAUCGGAAUUACAUCAAUCACAGAAACAAGUUACCAUAGGGCUAACAGCACAAUAUUUUUUAAGAGAACUUAUCACAAAAUAUGUUUAUGACCUCGAUGUUGAAUUAAAAAACUAAAUUAAGCAAAAUUAAUUUAAGUGGGUCUGUUCGACCCUUUAUUAUUUACAUGAU